rnacentral:misc_RNA from 1 species
GUGAAUCAUCAAAUCUUUGAACGCAAAUUGCACUCUCUGGUAUUCCGGAGAGUAUGCCUGCUUGAGGGUCAGUUUAAAUAAAAAUCGGUGUGGUUGCUGCCUUUCGUGGUGACGCAUCGGAUUUGGGUCGUCUUGCCUUCGGGUAAGUGACCUAAAAUUUUGCAUGAUGUUUUCGAACGUAUUUAAAUGAUUUUACGUACGUUUGCGAUAUCGAAUAUUAGGUUCGGUCAUACUCAUCAUUGGUGCCUUGAAUUU